rnacentral:rRNA from 1 species
AGGGAAUCUUCCGCAAUGGACGAAAGUCUGACGGAGCAACGCCGCGUGAGUGAUGAAUGUCUUCGGAUUGUAAAACUCUGUUGUUAGGGAAGAACAAGUACUAGAGUAACUGCUAGUACCUUGACGGUACCUAACCAGAAAGCCCCGGCUAACUACGUGCCAGCAGCCGCGGUAAUACGUAGGGGGCAAGCGUUGUCCGGAAUUAUUGGGCGUAAAGCGCGCGCAGGCGGUCCUUUAAGUCUGAUGUGAAAGCCCACGGCUUAACCGUGGAGGGUCAUUGGAAACUGGAGGACUUGAGUACAGAAGAGGAGAGUGGAAUUCCACGUGGAGCGGUGAAAUGCGUAGAGAUGUGGAGGAACACCAGUGGCGAAGGCGACUCUCUGGUCUGUAACUGACGCUGAGGCGCGAAAGCGUGGGUAGCGAAC